CACGUACACACCACUUGGCAGCGGGGUUAUAACAGUUGAUGGCACGGCUCCUUCUCGGCAAUAGCCGGGGGAAGGAGGCAGGGCUGUUGCUGGUUGCCGAUCAUGGGCUGCUGCCCAAUGGGGGUGGGCGCAGGGAGCGUGCUAUGCGUCGUGGCGUCAUGUCGGCUGUGCCUAGGGCAGAUGGGAGAGGAAGGGGCUGAGAUGGUCAUGGCUUCGUCUGUCGUGAGGGCUACGGUGCGGGCCGUGAGUAAGAGGAAGAUCCAGGCUACCCGCGCUGCCCUCACCCUGACCCCAUCGGCUGCUCAGAAGAUAAAACACCUUCUUAAAGAUAAACCUGAGCAUGUAGGUGUGAAAGUAGGUGUUCGUACAAGAGGAUGCAAUGGACUUUCUUACACACUAGAAUAUACAAAGUCAAAGGGAGACUCUGAUGAAGAUGUAGUUCAAGAUGGGAUUAGAAUCUUUAUUGAGAAGAAAGCACAGCUGACACUUCUAAGAACUGAAAUGGACUAUGUGGAAGACAAACUGUUCAGUGAAUUUGUCUUCAGUAAUCCAAACAUCAAAGGAACAUGUGGCUGUGGAGAAAGCUUUAACGUUUGAAAUUUCAGGAUGACUACUUUGACUUUGAAAGCCACAAAACACUUGCUGAAUAUGUGGCUUUCAAAAGCAAGUGCAUUUUCUUCAGUGGCUGGGGCUGUGCAGAGUGUGGAUGCUAUUAAGUGUGGAGUGGCUGGAAGACAACGGACAUAUUAUGGGCAAUCCAGAUGGAAUAACUUGGUUGUAAUAACAGGCCGCAGCCCUAACAAGCUGCAGGUGUUGUUAAGAACAUGUGCAAGGCCAAGGGAGAUAGGGAGGCUGUGUGUUCGUGGAGAGGUGGGGGAGUUGUACGGAAAGAUGAGAAAAAACAGGAUGCCUGCACAAGGGGGGAGCAGCGUGUGGGCACCACACCGGGACCAAUCAUAAGGGAGGUGGAAGUGUGGAACGAGUAGUUUUAACCUAUCACUUUUUACAUAACAAAGCCUGUAUAGUGUGUUUAUCUUUUGCUGAGAGUAUAAAUUUCUGUAAGUCUUUCAAUAAAGUGGUGCCUGAAAAAGGGA